rnacentral:lncRNA from 1 species
UCUCACUCUUUCAAGAAAAAUGGGGGCUUUCAUUUUCUCUCUCUUCUUGUGUGAAAAUAACCCUUUCUUCUUAGUGAUUUUAGGGUUAAUUUCCUGGAGGCCUUUUCUAAAAAUAAUCAUAGAAAACAGCAUGAAUUACUCAAGAUCUAUAUGGGUGUUGUGCUAUUUUGGUCUUUGUUGAGUCGAAUCCGUGUGACUCUUCGCUGGCCAGAUUUUCUUGUGAAAACUUAGUGUUUUUCGGCUAUUUUUGUAUACUUUAGAGGCUGAUUUUGUAUGGUUCCUUAGUGGACAGUGAUAUAAUGUGAAAUAGCACCCGAUUUUUUGUGAUUCUUGAGAAGGCAGCUUCGGUCAUGAGAGAAAUCUUAGUGAUUCAGUGAUAUUCCUUUGUGGAAUAGUAGUCGGUUCUAUAGUUCUUUAUGACAUAAGUCUUUGUAACUAAUUUGUUGUAAUAUUCUGAAAUAAUAUUGUAUAUUUGCUGCCUGAUUUUCGGGCUUUAUAGUGUAACCGAGUUUUAUCCAUUUUAAUGGAUGCUUUAUAGGGGAUUAGAUGUUAGAAGUGGUCACCGAACCUCUAGGGCUUCGGUCGAAAAAUUCUUUGUGUUCAUUUUUAUUUCCUACACUUUAUUUUCAUUUUAUGAUUG